GGCAGUGGUGGCUCAGUGGUUAAAGCAUUAGCCUACUGAUCAGAAGGUCAGGACUUCAAAUCCCAGCACUACCA